CCUACGGGGGGCAGCAGUGGGGGAUAUUGCACAAUGGGGGAAACCCUGAUGCAGCGACGCCGCGUGGGCGAAGAAGUAUUUCGGUAUGUAAAGCCCUAUCAGCAGGGAAGAAGAAAUGACGGUACCUGAGUAAGAAGCACCGGCUAAAUACGUGCCAGCAGCCGCGGUAAUACGUAUGGUGCAAGCGUUAUCCGGAUUUACUGGGUGUAAAGGGAGCGCAGGCGGCACGGCAAGCCUGAAGUGAAAGCCCGGGGCUUAACCCCGGGACUGCUUUGGAAACUGUAUGGCUGGAGUGCUGGAGAGGC
rnacentral:rRNA from 1 species